CGCCUGAAUUUUGUGUUUUUAAUCUGAUUUUUAGGGUUUUUCACCCAAAUUUUGGGUUUCCCGCCCGAUUUUUGGGUUUUUAAUCUCAAUUUUUGGGGUUUCUCACCCAAAUUUUGGGUUUCNNNNNNNNNNNNNNNNNNNNGGGAUGGGAGGGACAGGUGAGACUGGACAGGUGAGAUUGGACAGGUGAGAGGGAACAGGUGAGAUGGGACAGGUGAGGGCUCUGGGGAGGGACAGGUGAGGUGGGACAGGUGAGAUUGGACAGGUGGGACUGGGACAGGUGAGAUUGGACAGGUGAGAGGGAACAGGUGAGAUGGGACAGGUGAGGGCUCUGGGGAGGGACAGGUGAGGUGGGAGAGGUGAGGGACAGGUGAGAUGAGUGAGACAGGUGAGGGACAUCUGAGACCCCCCAGGUGUCCCUCACCUGUCCAGGUGUGUCUCACCUGCCCCAGGUGUCCCUCACCUGUCCAGGUGUGUCUCACCUGUCCCAGGUGUCCCUCACCUGUCCAGGUGUCCCUCACCUGUCCAGGUGUGUCUCACCUGUCCCAGGUGUGUCUCACCUGUCCCAGGGGUUCCUCACCUGCCCCAGGUGUCCCCCAGGUGUCCCUCACCUGUCCAGGUGUGUCUCACCUGCCCCAGGUGUCCCUCACCUGUCCCAGGUGUGUCUCACCUGUCCCAGGGGUUCCUCACCUGUCCCAGGGGUCUCACCUGUCCCAGGGGUCUCACCUGUCCCAGGGGUUCCUCACCUGUCCCAGGUGUGUCUCACCUGUCCCAGGGCUUCCUCACCUGAAUUUGGGGGGGGUCUCAUCCAAAUUUUGGGUUUCUCACCUGAAUUUUGGGGUUUUAAUCUGA
rnacentral:lncRNA from 1 species